rnacentral:lncRNA from 1 species
AAUGAUUUCUGCUUGUAGGUACAAUUACAUGUUAACCUACCUGAAUUCGGUGAAAUUAACUGGUUGACUCCUAACUUUGAUUUCCUGAAAUCAUAUUUCAUAUACUAUUGGAUUCAAAAGGUAAGAUGCCUGCAGUUAUGAGUUCAUAUUUUGAAAAUGUUUAUUUUCAUUUAUUUUUCAAUUUAAUGCAUAAAAAGAUGUAAUUAAGGAUACCUCCAUUAAGUUUAUUUCAAAAUACAAACCUUUGUUUAAGAUAAUUAGAUGAGUAAGUAUUGUUAUCAUAUGUCAAUGGAUUAUUGGGGUCUCAUUAGGGGGAGGGUGUGCGUUAUUCGGGUCUCAUUAGGGGUUGGGUGUGCGUCAGAUCACAGAUCCUGCUUAUUGUUUUCUCAGAUUCUGGUAUCCAGCUUAUCAUUGUAAUAAUAACACUUGUAAUUUCAUGUGUCCUGCUCAACAUUAUUUUACAUUUAAUGCACAAUUAUUUUACUAUCACAUGUCAGGCUUACAAAAAGUCUGCGGCCAACUUUACAUCACUCUUAGACCCAUUUUAAUUGGUGCUGUGUUUUGCUAGAACCUAGACUUACGUGUACAUAUGUCUUCAGAGCAAGAGCGCAAUCAUUUGUUUACAUUUUUAAAGUGGAAAGAAUUUUACUCAAAGACAGAAUAGAAGCUGGUGUGGUUUAAUCAUGAUUGGAUGAUAAAGAAUUGAAACUAUUUAAUUAGGAUAAAAAAAAUCCAUAAACUAAAAUUCUUGUUUUGCAAAGUAUAGAAACUAUUAAAUUUAGGUGUACCAAGUUGUCAUUAAACAAUUGUCUAUCUUAUUAAGCAUUAAUGGACGUUAUUCUCACUGCAUUUUAAGCCAUCUUCGGUGCUUUAAGCUACCAUUAAUAAAUAUUUUGGCUGUUAUACAACACUGACAUUUUUGGUAAUGUUCAGGAAAGACUACCAUUUUUUUUCUAGAUUUUGAAGCCUUCAAGAAAUUGAAUAUAGAACAACACUGAUCUCUUAUUGAAAAUGCAUUAAAAAAUUAUGCCCUCUGCAGUAUACCCUCUGUCCUUAUGUCCUUCUAUGAUAUCCACCUUAUCUUUCAUUUUGAACUUUUCACACUCAAACAUAAAAAUUUAUGAAAUUGGAACACUAUGUUAAGAACCAAAACUCUCAAACAGAGUAUAAAUUCUGGCAGUGAGUCAUAUACCUUCAAGAAUUAUGCCUCAUUUUGUAUUGGAAAAUUGCAUAUUUUUUUUUUCAUUUCUGCUCUUCUGUUUAAAUUUUACUCCAAUUUUUUUAAUCUCAUAUGCAUAUACCAAGCAGCUGAAGCUAAGAAAUAAAACUGGUAGAGUUUGAAUUUUGACAGCAACUUAUUAACCAUUCCAGAGUUAUGCCUCUUUUUAACUGAAAAUUGCAAAGGUUGAGUUCUUUCUUUAUUCUGAAAGGUAAUUAUCAGGAAAAAAUAUCUUUGAGUUGAUUGUUUAUUGGAGCUAUUGCCCUUAAUUUAAUGAUAGUUUAUUUUGGAAAACUAUAAUAGAAUAGACAGAACCUGCAGUAAACAACAGAAUUAUCUUCAAGAGCAAUAUCAUAUGUCAUGUAACUGAAACUGUUUAUUAACUGUUAAUAGGAAUAAAUGCCCUUUAAUAAUGAUUUUCCUGAAAUUUAUAAGUAUGUUUUUUUAUACGACUGCAAACAAUUUUUUUGGGAUCGUAUAAUGGUAUGAUCUUGUCUCCGUCGUCCUAAGACACAUUUGGUGUCCAGACAAUUAUUUUAGUUUAAGUGAAUGGAUCUCUAUGAAAUUAAAUUAAGAUGGUUCUCUACCACAUAGGGAAGGUUGGGAUUGAUUUCGGAAAUGAUGGUUCCAACCGUUUAGGGAAAAGGGGCCCAAAACAAGCAUUUUUCUACUUUCAGGAUAAUAACUUGUGAAUUUAUAUUUCAUUAGCUCUGGAAUUAUACCACAAUGUUUAAUUCCACAAGUAGAUGGUUUGGAUUCAUUUUGGGGGUUAUGGUGCCUACAGUUAAGGAAUUAAAGGCCAGGAAGGGACCAAAAACAAGGAUUUUUGUAGUUUCUGGCCUAUAACUUGUGUGUAAGUGUAUGGAUCAAUCUGAAAUUUAUAUAAUACAACAAGGUUCCAUAUCACAAAAGGAAGGCUCAGAUUGAGUUUGGGGUACAUGUAAUUGCCCAAUUCAUGCAGGAAUUAUUGACCAAAAAGGGCCAAAAACAAGCAUUUCUAAGUUGUCCAGACAGAGUAAAUAACAUGUGUCUUGAGAAGAUGGAUCUCUCUCUGAAAUUGUACUCACCAAGGUUCAUACUGCAAAGGGAAACCAGGAUUAGUGUUGGGAUAAUUGCUCAAAAAAGAAGAAAGUCAAAAAACUAUGACAUCUUUAAAGCCGUACUUUAACCUUUUGUGUGACAACCUUCCUAAGCAAUAAUUAAAAUAGUCUUUGAGUCGUCAUAUUAUUUUGACACAGAAACAAGCCAAAGAUAUAUAAGUCAAUUGAGUCAAUAUUUUUAAGAGAUUUAAAAGCUCUUAGAUUUUUCUUAAUAUAAUUAAUUUAAUUCCUACAUUUAAAAUGAACUAACCUUACAAUUAAUUCUCAUAUUAGAUUAAAAUUUAGUAGAAGUUUUGAUAAAUUUAUGAUACAUUUGUAGCUGUAAUCUCUAUACCUUUUUUUCUGCUCACCUGUGCUCAAAGGGCCAAUGAGCCAUCCCAUCACUUGGGUCCGUCGUCCGCGGUCGUUGUUAUCUUUUACAAAAUCUUCUCCCUAAUAAACUACUUGGGCUAAAUUAAACCAAACUUGGCCACAAUCAUCAUAGGGAUCUAGUUUCAAAAUUGUGUCCGGUGCACCGGCAACCACCCAGAAUGGCCGCCAUGGCUAAAAACAGAACAUAGGGGUCAUGCAUGUUUUCUGGCUUAUAGACUCCAUAAACCAAAGCAUUAAAGAGGCAAAUUCUGACAUAGAGGUGAACUGUUUACUCAGUCCAGAUCUCUCUGCCUGGAAAAUGUUUCAGAUGAAUCCGACAUUCGUUGUUGGGUUGCUGCCCCUGAUUGGUACUUUAAGGAAAUAUUGCUGUUUUUGGUUAUGAAUCUUGAAUAUUAUUGAAUAGAUAGAGAUAGAACUGUAAACAGCAAUUCAUGUUGCCAAAAUAAGAUUUAUAAUAUAAAGUCAACUCCGAGCCGAAAAUGACAAAAGCAUUUAGAAGCAAAUCGACAUACUAAAAUUGUCCAUCAGGUCAAAUUCUAUCUGCCCUGAAAAUUUUCGAGCUGGAAUCGGACAAUCUUGUUGUUGGGUUGCUGCCUCCUAAUUGGUAAAAUUUUAAGAGGAAAUUUUGCUGUUUUUAACACGGAUUUUGUGACAAAAUGUCGGUUAUUGGAUUGGGGAGGCAGUUGGGCGGCCGGCGACAAUCAAAUGUUGUCCGAGCAUAAGCUCAUGAACCAUUCAAUACCAAAGCUUUUAAAAGUUUAAUAUGUUGUUACUGACAACGUAAACUGAAGUCAAGUUCAAUAAUCGGCGAUUUGACUUUUACUGUUCAGCAGUUAUGGUUCUUGAAAGAUGAAAAAAUGGAGUUCCAGUGUUUCCGUGCUAUCUUUACCCAAGAACUGUUCUAAGCCCAAAGCUUUCCAAAUCGUAAUAUGGAUGUUGUUUACUGAUGACAAAAUGGAGUCACGUCAAUAAUGAGAUUUUGACUUUACUGUCAUUAGUUAUGGUCUUGGGAACAUUGUAAAAUGGCGUUUCAUUCACUUUGUUGCAUUUACUCUAUAAGCCAUUCAAUCUAAUAAGCUUUUUUAAUUUUACAAAGAUGUUUAUACUGAUUUGAACAAAAUGAAAGUCAAUUUGAUAUUGGACGAUUUUUCACUUUCACCAGUUCAUCAGUAAUGGUCUUCUGAUAUUGCCAGGGACCACAAAUAAUAUUAAUUAACUCCGGUUUGCUGUCGUUGUUGACAGCCUCUUGUUGGGUUAAUUAUCUUGAAUGUAUUAUAGAUAGAGAUGAGAAACUGUAAACAGCAAUAAUGUUCAGCAGAGUAAAUAUCACAACUAAGUUAAACCUUUAAGGAGUUAUUGCCCCUGUUAUCUGGCAUUUUUAACCAUGUUUUUCGUUAAAUCUUGGUUAUGAUUACAAAAAUCUUCUCCUCUGAAACUACUGGCAAUAAUUAACCAACUUGCUCACAAUUCAUGCAUUGGGGUAUCUAUUUGAAAUUGGAUGCCGCUGACGGCUCCGAUGCAAAUACACCGAUGGCGCCGCCAAGGGCUAAAUAUAGAACCAUAGGGGUAAAAGCAGUUUUUUGAGCUAUCAACUCAAAAACCAAAAGCAAUUUAGAGCAAUCUGACAGUCUGUCAACAUUGUUUAUCAGGCAAGAUCUAUCGGCUCCUGAAAUUUUCAGACGAGAUCAGACAACCUAUGUUUUAGGUUGCUGGCCCUAAUGGUAUCUAGAAAUCGUGCUAUUUGGUAAGGAUCUGUUAUUUAUGUAUUAUUACGUAUAUAUUGGAUGAUGAGAACUGGUAAACUAAAUGUUCAGCAAAUGUAUGAGAAUGAUCUAAAAUAAUUCAAUGCAGAUCCGCAAAUGGGUCAAUUGACCCCCUAACAGAGAGUUAUUGUCGCUUUAUAGUCCAAUUUCAUAACCAUUUUUAAUUCUAGUAAUUUUAGAUAAAAUUUCUCCUCCGAAACUACUGGGCCAAAAUUAAUCAAACUGCCACAAUCAUCUAUGGGUAUCUAGUUAAAAAUUGUGUCUGGUGAGCUGGCAACUCCAACAAAUUGGCCCCAUCGGCUAAAAACUAAAACAUGGGGUAAAUGUCAGUUUUUGGUCUUUAACUCACAAAACCAAGCAAUUUAGAGCAAAUCUAACAUGGUAUAUUUAGUUUAUCGGUCAAGAUCUAUUCGCCCUGAAUUUCAAUAAUCGGACAACUCCGUUUAGGUUUACUGCCAUGAAAUUGGGUAAUUUUUAGAGGAAUUUAAUUGUUUUCUGGGUUAUUAUCUGAAUAUUACUAUAGAUAGAGAUAAACUGUAAAAAACAUAAUGUUCAGCAAAAAGUAAUGAUUACAAAAAAGUCAACGACCCAAAUGGUAUGUUGAGCCUCUUAGGAGUUAUUGCCUUAUAUGUCCCAAUUGUUAACCAUUUUUCGUAAAUUCUUAGUAAUGUUAUCGUUACAAAAAAUCUUCGCUCUGAAACUACUGGCAAAUUUAACCAAACUGGGCCACAAAUCACUCUUGGGAUUCUAGUUUAUAAAAAUGUGUCUGGUGACUCUCGACCAUCACCAAGAUGGCCGCACAUGACUAUAAAAUAGAUCAUAGGGGUAAAAUGCAGUUUUGGUCUAUAAUUCAACAAACAACAGCAUUUAAGCAAAUCUAGAAAUAGUAUGUUUUGUAUACGGUCAAGGUCUAUCUUGCCCUGGAAAGUUUCAAUGAAUCCGGAAGCCUGUUGUUUGGUGCUGCCUAUUGAUGGUAAUUUAAAGAAAUUUUGACUGUUUUUAUCACCUGUCCCGAAGGGACAAGUGAGCUUAUGCCAUCACUUGGCGUCCGUCGUCUGUCGUCGUCGUAAAUAUUUCAAGAAUCUUCUCCUCUGAAACUACUGGACCAAAUACUUUCAAACUUUAACUGAAUGUUCCUUAGGGUAUCUAAUUUAUAUAUUGUAUCCGAAGUUUUGAUCUAUCAACAAACAUGGUCGCCAUUGCUAAAAAUAGAACGCUAAAAAUAGAACAUAGGGGUCAAAUGCAGAUUUUGGCUUAUAACUCAAAAACCAAAGCAUUUAGAGCAAAUCUGACAUUGGGUAAUAUUGUUUAUCAGGUCAAGAUCUAUCUGCCCUGAAAUUUUCAGAUGAAGCAGACAACCCGUUUUUGGGUUGCUGCCCCUGAAUUGGUUAUUUUAAGGAAAUUUUGCUGUUUUUGGUUAUUAUCUUGAAUAUUAUUAUAGAUAGAGAUAAACUGUAUACAGGAAUAAUGUUCAGCAAAGUAAGAUUUACAAUUAAGUCAACAUGACGGAAAUGGUCAGUUGACCCCUUUAGGAGUUAUUGCCCUUUAUAGUCAAUUUUUAACCAUUUUUCGUAAAUCUUAGUAAUCUUUUACAAAAAUCUUCUCCUCUGAAACUACUGGGCCACAUACUUCCAAACUUUAACUGAAUGUUCCUUAGGGUAUCUAGUUUAUGAAUUGUAUCUGAUGUUUUGAUCUAUCAAAAAACAUGGUCGCCAUUGCUAAAAAUAGAACAUAGGGGUCAAAUGCAGUUUUUGGCUUAUAACUCAAAAACCAAAGCAUUUACAGCAAAUCUGACAGGGGUAAUAUUGUUUAUCAGGUCAAGAUCUAUCUGCCCUGAAAUUUUUAGAUGAAUCAGACAACCUGUUGUUGGGUUGCUGCCCCUGAAUUGAUAAUUUUAAUGAAAUUUUGCUGUUUUUUGUUUAUUAUCUUGAAUAUUAUUAUAGAUAGAGAUAAACUGUGAACAGCAAUAAUGUUCAGCAAAGUAAGAUCUUCAAUUAAUAAUUUGAGACGCAAAAAUUGUCAAUUUGACCCUUAAGGAGUUAUUGCCCUUUAAAGACUUUUUUUCACCAUUUGUUUCACAUGUUUACUUACUUUAAAAAAUCUUCUCCUGUUGAACUGCUGUCAUCAUUUCAGCCAAACUUAGCUAAAUGAGUUUUCAGAGUUAUUAGUAUAAAUUUUAUAUUUUAUUUCCUUUGUAUGUAAGAACAUACGCUCCUAUGGCUAAAAUAGAACUACGGAGAAAAUGAUAUUUUUUAUGGGCUUUUGAAGAAAAUAGGACGAUCCAAAAACAUGUAAAUAAAUUGAAAAGCAAAAUACUCAUUGAUGAGAGAUUAACCAAAGAAUUAAGGGAGCGAUUUCAGGAUCUUCGAGAGCCUCUUGUUGUUAUUAUCUUGAAUAUUAUUAUAGAUAGAGAUAAACUGUAAACAGCAAAAAUGUUCCAGCAAAGUAGAUCUUACAAUAAGUCAACUAGACCAAAAUGGUCAUUGACCCCCUUAGGAGUUAUUGCCCUUCUAUAGUCAAUUUUUUAACAAUUUUUCGUAAUCUUAGUAAUCUUUUAGAAAAUCUUCUCCUCUGAAACUCUGGGCCAGAAUUAAUCAAACUUGGCCACAAUCAUCAAUGGGGUAUCUAGUUUAAAAAAUGUGUGUCUGGUGACCCGGCCAUCCAACAAGAUGGCCCCAUGGCUAAAAAUAGAACAUAGGGUAAAUGCAGUUUUGUUUUAUAACUCAAAAACCAAAGCAUUAGAGCAAAUCUGACAAAUUGGGUAAAAUUGUGUUAUCAUGGUCAAGAUCUAUUGCCCGAAAUUUUAGAUGAAUCGGACUGACCACCUUGUUUGGGUUCUGUCCUAGAUAUUGGUACAUUUUAAGGAAAUACUUUAGCUGUGAUUUGGCUUGUAUAUAUCUUGAAUAUUCUAUCAUAGAUAGAGAUAACCUGUAAACAGCAAUAAUGUUCAGCAAAGUAAGAUUUACAAAUAAAUCAACAUGACUGAAAUGGUCAAUUGACCCCCUAAGGAGUUAUUGUCCUUUAUAGUCCAUUUUAAACUAAUUUCAUAAAAUUUGUAAAUUUACUAACAUUUUCCACUGAAACUACUGGGCCAAGUUCAUUAUAGAUAGAGAUAAUUGAAGAGACAAGAAUGUUCAGUAAAGUAAAGAUCUACAAACACAUCACCAUGCAACCAAAACAUAUAAUUUUGUCAAGCAAUCCAUCUGCUGUCCUUUGUUUAUAUUCACAUUGACCCCAUGGUGAGCGACACGGCUCUUUAGAGCCUCUAGUUAACAAUUUUCAUAAAAUUUAUUAAGAUUGUAUUUAUUAACAUUUUUCCCUGACACUACUUGAGAAGGACCAAGAUCAUUAAUAAAAUAGGGAUAAUUGUAACAGCCAAGAAUGUUCAGUAAAGUAGAGAUGUACAAACACUCACCAUUACCAAAACACAAUUUUUCAUGAAUUCCUCCUUUCUCUUUGUUUUAAUAUUCACAUAUAUAACCCAAGGUGAGCCGACACAGGCUCUUUAAGCCUCUAGUUUAACAAAAAUCUCUUAAAGUACAUGUCCUUUGUUAAUUCAGAAUGAAAUUUCUCAUAAUAUGUUAUAUAAUCUAGCAUGGAAUAUCUUAUAAGAAAAUAUUUACAGAUCAAAAUCUUGUGUUCUAGAUUUAUAUUUAUCAUGUAACUUUUGUCUUGAAGCACCAGUACAUACAUAGUAGGUUGAUUGAUAUGUUACAUACUAAUUUUUUUCUUCAGAUCUGAGUAGUAGGUGACUUAGUUACAUAACAAAGCACAAGUAAAUAGUUGGAUGUUUAUUUCAUCAGACAAAGACAGGUAAUAUACACUGUAAUAUGUCUUGUGUUUCCUGUUAAACAACAAAUUUUUAAAAUCUUUUUACUUUUUUUCUUUUGUUUGCAAGACAAAUAAAUUAAAAUCCUGGUUGUUGUACAAAAAAUGUAAGUAAUUUUAUAAUUUGUUUGGACAGACAUUUAAUUAUAUGUCCUGUCUGAAGCAGAAGGAUUUUCAUUAUAAAUUAAUUAGUGUUGCUUGAUUUGUGCUUUUCAAUACACAUAAACUUGCGGAGACCUCAAGUAUUGACUGUGAUAUAGAAAUAUGCUAAUUAUCGACUGCUUUAAUCUUGCAAUAAAGCCUGUUCAAGAGGUGGGAGGAAAAAAGAGGGUUUGCUUAUUUGGUUGUGCAGAAUGUGUUUUAAAUAUGCAGCCACGUCCAGUCAGAAUGGUGACUUUAACUUAAGUCCAAUGCCUUGUGUAGGAACUGUGUUGUGUACUCUGCAAGAUAAAGAAGAGCUGUACAUCAACUUUUUUAUGGGUCCACAGUUGGCUUUGCUGCAAUAAACUUUAUCUCCCUAUUGUUAUACUUGUUCAAGUCUCUAAAUUCCCAACCUCUCAUUCAGGUCUACUGCACAAAUAUGGUUGGCUUUGCUGAGAUGUCGUUUCUUUCCUAUCUUUUUGUGAAACAUUUUAUAAUUAUAGUCAGGUAUAUAUUGAUUGUGAGUAACUUACAUAGUAGUUAAUGGGACUCCAUUUCACACGUUCUGUGAAAUAUAGUACGGCAAAUAUAUACUGGUACAUACUAUCUGCAUAACACAGAUAGAUUUUCACUCCUCUGGAAAAAAUCAACCUGUGAAAUACCAUGCCUGGAAAAAAAUAACCGGGACAAAUUAUCCUCAGGAUAAAAUAUCACAGAGGAAGAAAUAAACCGUUACAUAUGCACCCAUAAGUAAAACAAAUAUCCAUGAAAUAUACAACUUAUCCUCUAUCCAUGACAAAUUGGUAUUAGAGAAAACAAUUGAAUCCACAGAAAAUAGUUUAUGAUUUAAGAAUGUGUCUCUCCCAAUAAAGAACAGCAAUAUAUGAAGUAUGACAUUUAUAUGUUAAUAUUAAGCCAUUUGUAGGAAGAUCUAUAUAUUCUUACAUAAGAGAUCUAGACAAAGUCAAUCCUAGUUGAUACUGUUGAAACCAAGAUGUCUAUUUUCCUAGACUAUAUAUACAGAUCGACUCAUCCAAAAAAUAAAGAGAAAUCUUAUGAUGUGAGAACCUUCUCUGGCGAUGACAAUUGAGCUUUCUGUGAAAUUAGACUAAAAAGUGUUUAUAAUUUUCCCAUCAGACCUACACAAUAGAAUUGUAUCAUGAUAUAUCGAUCAUAGCCAUAAAUUUUUUUUCUCAAAUCCUUUAUUCCCAAUUUAGAUUAAUACUGGUAUUACGUAUUUAUUAUUUUCAGAGAAUUAAUGAACCCAAAUAAGCCAUAAAUUGUACUGUCUCCUGUUUGGAUUUUUCCAUAUACUGGUUAAUCUGCAGUCAUUGUCUGCUUUUCUGCCACCAUGAUUUGUUGCAUAGCUGAUUUUUCUUAAUGAAUCAUACUUCGAAUAAAACUGGGAUAUCUUUUGCAGAAUAAAAGAAAGAUAAACUUUUCUAAUGGCCCUCUAUUGACAGAAUAAGCCAAGAGUUACAAGAGGGAUGGGGUUCAUAAAGAAUUUAUGUGAAUGGAAGAUCAUGAAAGGCUUCAUGUGCUCUUUUAUUUUAGCUUAUCUGGCUAAAGACCAUUAGGAGAUAUUUAUACUGCACUCAGCAUCUGCUGUCUCAGCGUCUACCACAUAUUUAUUUUAUAGAGCUCCUAAACCACCAAAUAAAUUGAAAUGAAAAGGUUAUUGUGUAGUUAUAGAUUUUAAUGUGCUAAUUUUAUAUUGAUCCACCAAGCAAUAAGGCCACCAUGUCUGAAAAUCAAACAUAGGAGUUAGGUGCAAGUUAACUUAUCAAACAUGCAAGUUAAUGUUUAGAAUUCAAGAUCUACAAAAAUGUCUCAAUGACUGGAAUUAUCAAUUGACUCCUUAUGAGUCCCUGCCCAUUUAUUACAAUAUGCAACUAAUUUUAAUAUUUCUGCCUGUUAUCAAUAUACAAAAACUGUUUAAAGCAAAAAAAAAAAUCAUCUGUACAUACAAGAUCUACAGAACUUUAUGCAUGCUGCAUUUGUUUGCCCCUGUCCAAAGGAACGUAUCUGAUGUUCAGUAGUUGUCGUUUGUUGAUACAGUUCAUAAGUGUUUCUUGUUUCUCAUUUAUUAUAUAGAUUAGACUGUUGGUUUUCCUUUUUGACUGGUUUUACACUAGUAAUAUUUGGGGCCCUUAAUAGCUUGCUGCUCGUUGUGAGCCAAGGCUCUGUGUUGUAGACCAUACUUUGAUUUAUAAUGGUUUACUUUAACAAAUUGUGACUUGGAUGGAGAGUUGUCUCAUUGGCAUUCAUAUCACAUCGUGGUAUAUCUACAUCUUCAUGCAAUCUGCUAAUUAAGUUCUAAAUGGUCCUUUGGAGCCUCUAGUUACCCAAGUGGUUUUUAAAUUGGAGAGAGAUUGUUGAAUUAAAAGAGACUCAUAAAACACAAUCUUAUCUUAUAAGUUACAUGUUUGUGUCAUUAAAAGUGAUUCUUAUAAAAUUAAAGAGAUUCAUAAAAUACAUCUUAUCUUAUAAGUUACAUAUAUGUUCCAUUAAAUAGACACUUGCAUUGCGAAAGUUCUCUCCUACGCUCUUUCUAAGAUUCACCUGACGUCUUAUUAACUAAUUUAUAGAUUUCAGGGUUCACCAAGAGUUGAAAUAUAGAUAAGUAUAUACUACAAUAGACCUCUUUUGAUAUCUGACCGGAGAUUAUUAAGAUUAUUCUUUAUUUCAUAAUGGAAAAUCAUAUUUUUAUAGAUGACAGUUUUUGUGAAAAUAAAUUGCUAUCUGAUGCAGCAUUAAGAUGAUCAUUAACUUUGUCUUUUGAAAUAUUUCAAUUGUAUUAUAAAUUCUAUUAAGUUGUUUUGUUGCACUGUGAGGAUUUGAUUAGAAAUUUGAGUGGUUAUUUAUAAUUUGUGAGGAAGUUGAUGUUUAUUAUUUCUUGCUUGCCUAUUGCUUUUUAGCCUUGUAUUCUAUUGUCAGUUUUUCAGACCACUGUAUCUUAUCAAAGUUUUAAAAUACAAAAAAAAGAGCUUAUUUCAAGUAAGAAAAUUUAUUGCCAAAUUUGAAUGACAAUUUUUACCCAUUUUACAUUUUUGUCAACAACUAUAGAAGAUAGAAAGAAAUGGUUAACAGCAAAAAUAAUCUGCAAGACAAAAUCUUAUAAUUGGUCAUCAAUUGUCUAUGAUAAAGGAGUUAUUACCCUUGAGUGAAGAUUGCCGACUGUGCUAAGGAUAUAUAGCCAGUCAAGGUCUUUAAACUAUACCCAUCGUCGUUAGUGAAGAUUUUGAUCCAUUGAUGUGUUUUGGACAAAAACAAAAGUAGAUUGAGAAAAAUUUUAUCAGAAAAAAAAAAGAUCACUAGUAAAAGAUCAACAAUAAAAGAUUUUAGUCAUGAAUUAUAUUCUAGUCUACUAAGUUGGAAAGUGGCUGUUGUUUGCUCUCUCUGAAAAACAAAGGGAUUAACUGUUUUUGGUUACUUUUCAGAUUCUGAACCAUAGUGGUCACAACUACAUGAUAACAGACGAUGAUACACAGUUUUUGGUUACUUUUCAGAUUCUGAACCAUAGUGGUCACAACUACAUGAUAACAGACGAUGAUACACAGUUUUUGGUUACUUUU